AAGUCGUAACAAGGUUUCCGUAGGUGAACCUGCGGAAGGAUCAUUGUCGAACCCUGCUCAGCAGAACGACCUGUGAACAUGUUAAAACAUCUGGUUUUGCGAGGACUAAAGCUUUUGUUUUGAUCCUUGUAAAACCUUGUUGGCCUGUGUUCAUGGCUGCCCCUUUGGGCGUCCUGAAUGUCAGGUUGACACAACUAACAAUUCGGCACAAAACGUGCCAAGGAAAACAAUACUUAAAGGGCCCUUGCCAUGUCGCUCCGUUUACGGUAAGCGCGUUGCAUGUGACCUCUUUGUAACACUAAACGACUCUCGGCAACGGAUAUCUCGGCUCACGCAUCGAUGAAGAACGUAGCAAAAUGCGAUACUUGGUGUGAAUUGCAGAAUCCCGUGAACCAUCGAGUUUUUGAACGCAAGUUGCGCCCGAAGCUUUCCGGCUGAGGGCACGUCUGCCUGGGCGUCACGCAUCACGUCGCCCCCACCAACCAYUCCGUUUUAGGACUUGUUUGGUUGGGGCGGAGAUUGGUCUUCCGUGCCAUGGUGCGGUUGGCCUAAAUAGAAGUCCCUUCAUGAGUGGCGCACGACUAGUGGUGGUUGAUAAGACUGUCGUGUCGUGUCGUGUGUUCGGUUCAUGUGGGUAGCACUCCUUAGACCCUGUGUGUUGUCCUGUGACAAUGCUUCGAUCGCGACCCCAGGUCAGGCGGGACU
rnacentral:rRNA from 1 species